rnacentral:lncRNA from 1 species
GCCAAGUUAAUUGCUUGAAACAUCAAACCUCCAUCGUAAAACUCAAAGUUAUAAACACAUAAAGGCAUGAAGUAUAACUGAUGAGAAAUUUUUAGUGCUCGAAGUAAUUUAACCACUCGCUCCAUAUAAUUUAAAGCAGUUCUCAUUUUCUGUGGCAUUUCCUUCCCAAAAAUUUUUCUAAGUUUGCUAGCACCUUCUUCAUAAUUUUCCCGAAAAUCAAACAAACUCAGAUCGUCUAAGGUGGUAGAGGGAACUAAUGACUCAAUACGAAGCUGGUUCCGUACCUGUGAUAAUGUUAAGCGUUGGUUGAUUUGUCCAAGUAUAUGAGUAGCCAUGCGUCUUUUAUCCUUUGAUACUUGUAAAUAAUCAAGAAUGGAGGAAAGAAUGUCAGCGUGAUUAAUUAAGAUACAACUUUCUGUCAAGGAUGGUAUCUCUGUUAAUACUUCGUCUAAUGCUUUGAUUGUUUCUGCAUCAUACCAAUCCAAAUUAUCAGAAUUCGUGGUAAUGUCAAAUGAAAUUUCCUUUAUAGCCUUUGGUCUCCCUCCACCUUUGGCUUCCCGAAAAACGUCAGAAAUUAAGUACGUCUUUUCUUCUUCCACAGCGUUUCUAGCAACAUUUCUCGCGUAAGGAAGAACCGUAUCAUAUGGAAGCUGUAAAAGGGUACCAUUUUUAUCUAGUAGGGAAACAGAAGCUUGGUCUUUAUCGUAUUGAGAAGACUUUGGGAAUAGAAUAUGUGACUCACGUUCCUUGGCUCCAUGGCGACGAAAUACUUUAACUACAUGAUCACGUACUAAACAAGCUAACAAACUAUCCCAUCCUCUAUCCGACACUUUCGACAACACUCCACUUUCUUCACUAAGGUUGAAGUCGUAAGUAAAGUCUUUAUGACGAUCGGGCACUUGGCCGAAUAAAACUUUCAGAAGCUUUAAAUAAUAAGGAGUAUUAGGGUUGGACAAAAGACGAAGGCCUUCUUGAAUAAACUCUUCACCAACUUUUGGAGGUAUGGCUUCACUUUCAAGGAGUUCUUGGCUCGAUGGUCUUUUUGUGGGAUCGUGUUGUAGAAGACAAUGAAUGACUUUGAACUCAUGGCUAGCACGGGAAAAAGGAAAAGUGGAAGGGAACGAUAUAGAUGGAGAUCUAAUAGUAUCAAUUAUCCGAAUUCUUUCCAUAGAAGUAGAAAAAGUCAUGCACAUUUCGAAGAGUAUAAUACCCAAGCUAUACAUAUCAACCUUUGCAUCGUAGCGUACCCCAUUACGCCUACUGAGAAGUUCAGGAGCUACGUACAAAGCUGUACCGACACCUGUUGUGAGAUCUUCAUCUGCUGAUUGGCGAUUUUUCCAUUUGUCAUUGUUAUCUUGGUAAUUUUCAUUUUCUGUAGCCAAGCCAAAAUCACCAAGCUUUACAUUUCUAUUUUCGUCUAAAAAAAUAUUUCCAGGCUUAAGAUCUCUGUGCAUCAUUCCCCGACUGUGAAUAUAUGCCAAAGCUUCUAAAAUUUGUCUAAACAACCGCCACAUUUCAUCCACAGGAAUUUUAUCUCGUAUGAUAUCUUGCAAUGACAACUUUUCACAAUAUUCCAUUUGUAU